GUAAUGAGGGUCGAGACUCGAGAAUCACAAACCCUAAUCAGCAUCAAUGAGAAUCGCAAGCACCUUCCUCAUCUGGCUUAUCUUCCUUUUCUAAUUACAGGUAGUGUGCACAAAAUUAUCAAAAAAAAUUUUGCAUCAUGGAUGAGGAAGGUGUUGUUAUAGGAUCAAUGGAUUGUGAGAACAAGCAUUAAAGUGAUUUAUCCCGAACUAGAGAAUGAUGGUGUCUCGAGUUGCUCAUGGCUGUGGAGGAGAACGAUGUUUUGAUGGGAUGAGGACUUGCUAAUAGAUCUUCGAAACUUAUUUGUUGUGGUAGACUUUUGAAACAAUGAAGAAUGUUCUCUUGGAGGCAUUUUCAACAUAGAUUACCAACUAGAUCUCAACUUUUUAAAAGAGCUGCUGCAUGAGCAAGGAGUAGGUGAUGUGCAACUAUAUACGGCUCUGUCCCUGAAUCGCCGCCGGUGCAGUUGAGAUUUUGCCAAUCAGAGCAUCGACCAGGUGCAAACGCCCCUAUAGCAUAUCCAGCUGCUGUCAACAAACUUAACGACUUUCAUUCCUUAAACAAAGAUCAAUACAACGAGGUACCAUAUUAAAGAAACUACGCCUAGACCAAGAAUUGGCCGCCUUAGCUAAAGUAUGGGCAACCGAAUUCGCUUGGCGUUUAACGAACUUUACCUCAAAGUUCGGAAAAAGAAGCAACAAGUUCUGAAUAGUUCUAAUAAUAAGGCUAAAUUCAGAGUUACCUACAAUUGUAGUAUGAAUAGCUUUAGUUACAAUUUGACAAUCGCUUUCAAAAAUAACAUGGGAUAAAUGAAGGGAGAUGGCAUUCUGAACUGCUUCCUUCAAAGCGGUGGCUUCAGCUUCAAUGACGGAAAGAGAACCCAUAUCCCAAGCCACCCCUCCUGUGAUAAAUCUCCCCAAAUGGUCCCUAAAGCACCAACCUCUAUUGGUAGAACCACAUACCUUAUUGAAAGCUGCGUCAAUAUUACACUUCACUUGAUUAGCCGUAGGCGGAAUCCAACCCUCUGAACUAUUAGUAGUAACGGUAGGCUCAUGCUUCUCUCUGGCUAGAAACCAAUCGUACCAAUUGUGAUAGGCUUGUAAACCAAUCUGCAUAGCAUCUUCACGGGUAUCUUGCCACACCACAUUAUUCCUACUUCUCCAAAGAGUCUCAAGCAAAACCGCAAAUCUACCCGCAUCCCUACAGUCCUCACGACUAUAGACAUCCAAAAUAAGGGAUUUAGCAUCAUGAAAAGUAUGUAAACGGGGUUCAAUUAAGGAUGACAAACCUGCUCCCCGCCAACUUUGACUAGUAGAAAAGCACCCGAAAAACAUAUGCCAUUCAUCUUCAUCUUCUAAUUCACACCAAGGACACAAGAUCGGGCAUUGGACAUGAUGGUGUUGGAGUUUUGAACGGGUCGGGAGGCAAUCCCUACAUAUCCUCCAUAACAAAUGCUUAGCUCUAGGUGGUGCUAAAAUACUCUAAAGAUGGUUCCAAUUACCUUCAAUGCCAUAGUGACGAGUGUUAUUUUGCAUCCUUCGCCAUAGUCUAUAUCCCGAUUUCACACUAUAUUCACCAUUUUUCUCCUCUUGCCAAAUCAUCCUAUCUACUUCCACAUCCUCCAUCAAAGGAGUUUUAAGAAUAGUUUCGGCAUCCAUCCUAUCGAAAACUUGAUACACCUUCCCCACAUCCCAUUGUUUUUCUUCGGGUCGCAUAAGAUCUUUGACAAAAAGAUCAUACACAUCUUGCUUCUGGGGACCAUUAAACCACCAACUUCCCUUCUCUCGGAGCCACGGUUCAUGCAUAACCUUAAUGCUACUCCCAUCUCCAAUACUCCACCUACUACCCAACUUAAGCACAUCCUUUGCCCUCCACAAACUCCUCCACACACAACUUGGGUUAUUUCCAAUCUUGGAAUCAAGAAAAGAGGAUCGAGGGAAAUACCUUGCUUUGAAGAUUCUAGCCACAAGAGAGGUAGGUCUCGUCACGAAAUUCCACCCUUGUUUUGCAAUCAUAGCCAUAUUAAACGCUUUGAAAUCCCUAAAUCCCAUACCUCCUUCACUCUUUAAGCAGGUCAUCCUCUCCCAUGACAUCCACCUGAUACCUUUGUUAUUACGACCACCCCCCACCAAAAAGAAUUCAGCAUUUUUUCAAUAUCUUUCACUACUCCAUCUGGGAUCAAAUAAAGACUCAUAAUAUAGGUCGGGAUCGACUGAAGUACUGAUUUAAUCAUAAUUUCCUUCCCUGCUUUAGAUAACGACCUACCACUCCAAGAAUUAAUUCUUUUCCAAACCCUGUCUUUGAGAAAAGAGAACGUCGCCUUCUUACUUCUACCAAUCAUGGACGGUAAGCCCAAGUAGGUUCCUGUACCCAACACGUGCCUCACCCCAUUACCUUGGCCAAAUCCUCCUGUGCUGGUACACUAAUAUUACGGCUAAAGUAAACUUUAGAUUUUGAAAGAUUAAUCUCCUGACCAGUCGCCGCAGCAUAAGUAUUAAGGAUCUCCAUAAGAUUAGUAACCUCCACAAGAUUAACCCUGCAAAAUAAAAAAUAGUCGUCAGCAAAAAGCAAGUGGGACACACUUGGUGCCCCCUGCAGAUAUGUGCCCCAUGAAUAUCACCACGUGAGACGGCUCCUCUAAUGAGAGCGGAAAGCCCUUCAGAGACGAGAAUGAAAAGAUAAGGCGACAAAGGAUCUCCCUGUCUCAGCCCUCUUCCUGGAAUAAUGGGUCCAACUCUAUCAGGGUUAACAAGAACAGAAUAAUGUACCGAAGUCACACACAUCAUUAGCCAAUGAAUCCAUUUCUCAUGAAAUCCCAUACAGAGAAGGAUGCCUCGAAGAAAGCCCCAAUCAACUCUAUCGUAUGCUUUACUGAUAUCAAUUUUUAGAGCCAAGUGAGCUAUGUUACCACUGGUCUUCUUCUUAAGAGCAUGGAUGAUUUCUGUAGCCACCAUAGCGUUGUCCAGGAUAGAUCGCCCUUCGACAAAAGUCGAUUGUUCCUCCGACACACACUUGUCUAAAACGAGUUUCAAACGGUUUGCCAAAACUUUAGCAACUAUCUUGUAGACUACGUUGCAGAGAGAGAUGGGACGGAGUUCCUUCAUGUCUUUAGGCUUUGCACAUUUAGGAAUAAGACAAAUAUUCAUUUCAUUUAGCUCCGCCGGGAAAAAACCCCUAUCCAACCAAUUAACUGCUGCCAGGAAAAUAUCAUCACCACAUAAAUCCCAAAAAUUCUGAUAGAAAGCUGGAUUGAAACCAUCGGGACCCGGAGAUUUAUCUGGAUGCAUUUGUAGAAGAGCCUCAUACAGUUCUUCUUUGGAAAUUUGGGAUAUCAAUCUGUUAUUAUCACCCUGCGAUAUUACCGGUUGUAUACAAUUCAACACCGGAUCAUAACUUCCAUGCUUGACUUCAAACAACUUCUCAAAGUAAGACUUGGCAACUUGACAUAAUCCAUCCUGUCCAUUAACCUCACUACCAGCAUCAUCUAAUAACAUGUCAAUAUGCUUGAACUUCUUUCGCACCGUGGCAGACCUGUGAAAAAAAAUUGAGUUCGAAUCACCGUGCCGUAACCAAUGCAUUUUAGAACGUUGCUUCCAAAAAAUUUCCUCCCGAAUCAGAAUCUUAUUAUACUCCCGCUGUGCAUCGAGAAAAGAUCUUGCGGCUGUUGUAUCAUUAACUAGACGGGCAGCUUCCAUGGUUGCCAUGCACACUGUUAAAUUUUUGUGUUUCUGCAUAUAAGUAACUUUGUUCCAUUGCGAAAGUUCCGUUGCACCUUUAACUUUAUUUUUUUGAAUAAUGUUUUCUUAAAUGUUUAGAUACUGUAAAAUAUUUAUUUAUCAAAUUUUAGAAUUUUUUAAAAUGAGAAGAACUAAAUAUGAAAUUUUUAAAUUUUAAAAGAUAAUGAUAAACAUGAUGAAAUUCUCGACUUAGAAAUCAAAUUUUGAGUUCCUUUUUAUUCAAGGAACUUUUUAUAACGUACUAAACAUGUAUUUAAAAAAAUCAUUCAAAAAUACACAUUGAUUUAACAACAGUGACUAAAACUAA